GAUUACACCUUCACGCGUCUUCUUCUUCCAUCAACUAGUACACCUAAAUCACAACGCUCCCACACAUUUUUUUUUCUAGAAAGAAUACACAAAACUCCCCUACGCGCCCCCAUCCCACUUCUUUCUUUCUUCUUCUUCUUCAGUGAAAGCAACUCGAACCCAACCUUAAAUCCUCGAUUCAAUGCCUCAAUUUCCCCUAUUCUCCUUCGACUCAUAUGGCUAAGCGUGCUUGGCACGAGCUUGAGAACACCUAGAGGAUUCUAGGACGUUACCAAGGUUUUUGUCCCCUCAAUUGUGAUUUUGUUCAAAAAAUGGUAUGAAUUCGUACACUAACCAGUUAUCAAUCUUAUCUGCUAAGGAAUUUUGGACUUUUGCAUUAUUCCCACAUAGUUUUUCCCCUCAAAUUUGACCCAGAAGCUGCCCUAUAAAUACCCUUCUUUUGCCACUGUUCAGGGACCAUUUUUGUGAGCUGAAGAAUUGAGAGCACCCCCGUAAAGGUUUUGGGAGCUCUUAGUUCGUAGUUUAAGAUUUUAUCUGCUUUCGACUGUCCCAGUCACAUUUUGGUGGUAAAGUUCAUUGCCUCCAAAACUCGAGUUCCAGUCGCUGCCCAGAACCAGUCUUUUCGAAUGAGUCCAACUGACUCCCUCUCUUGCAUUUUCUUCUUCUUUAAGUCGACCUCAUCAAAGUCGUGAAAGGGAAGUUAAUAUCAUCGGGUUAAACUUCAAAUCACUGGCAGCAGCUCAAUAGCAGUUACAACACUCCCAAAAGCUGAAAAUUGCAAAUUUUGGACUUAAAAGAGUCUCAAUUAACCGAAGUAGUAGCAGCAGUUCCCAAAGGGGCAAAAAUUGAGAUUUCUUGGACUUUAACAAGUCCAAUUUAUACCGUAACACCAACAGUAACUAAGCAAGAAGCGAAAAUUGGGUUAAAACCCGAAGUUGACAAAGUAGCAGAUCGGCAAUUCAGUCCCAAAAGGGACUUAGUAUGGGUAAAAAAUGUCUUGUCUAUAUUUUCUUACUAUUGUCAUUGAUGCCAACUUUUGUUAAUCUUUAUUAAUUUAGAUGAAUCCUUGGGGA